rnacentral:rRNA from 1 species
UUAAAAGUAUAGCCUGCCCCCUGAGUAGUUAAAUGGCUGCGGUAAUCUGACCGUGCAAAGGUAGCAUAAUAACUAGUUUUUUAAUUGAAAGCUUGAAUGAAAGGUUGGACGAGGGAAUAACUGUCUCUAUUUAAUUUAAUUAGAAUUUUAUUUUUAAGUAAGAAAGCUUAAAUAAAUUUGAAAGACGAGAAGACCCUAUAGAAUUUUAUAUUUAUUAUAAUAUUGGGGUGUGAGGAAUAAUUGGCUUUGGUAUUAUAAUAAUUAUUUUGUUGGGGCGAUAGAAAAAUUUAAUAAACUUUUUUUAAAUUUAUCCACUAAUUUGUGAGUAAGUGAUCCAUGUUUUAUGAUUAUAAGAUUAAAUUACCUUAGGGAUAACAGCGUAAUCUUUUUUAAGAGUUCUUAUCGAAAAAAAGGGUUGCGACCUCGAUGUUGGAUUAAAAUUAACUUUUGGUGUAGGAGCUAAGAUGUUAGGUCUGUUCGACCUUUAAAAUUUUACA